rnacentral:rRNA from 1 species
CCUACGGGUGGCAGCAGUGAGGAAUAUUGGUCAAUGGACGGAAGUCUGAAUCAGCCAUGCCGCGUGCAGGAAGACGGCUCUAUGAGUUGUAAACUGCUUUUGUACAAGGGUAAACCUGAAUACGUGUAUUCAGCUGAAAGUACUGUACGAAUAAGGAUCGGCUAACUCCGUGCCAGCAGCCGCGGUAAUACGGAGGAUCCAAGCGUUAUCCGGAUUUAUUGGGUUUAAAGGGUGCGUAGGCGGAUUGAUAAGUUAGAGGUGAAAUGUCCGAGCUUAACUCGGGAACUGCCUCUAAUACUGUUGGUCUAGAGAGUAGAUGCGGUAGGCGGAAUGUGUGGUGUAGCGGUGAAAUGCUUAGAGAUCAUACAGAACACCGAUUGCGAAGGCAGCUUACCAAUCUAUAUCUGACGUUGAGGCACGAAAGCGUGGGGAGCAAACAGGAUUAGAUACCCGUGUAGUC